CCUACGGGAGGCAGCAGUGAGGAAUAUUGGUCAGUGGUCGAGAGCCUGAACCAGCCAAGUCGCGUGAAGGAUGAAGGUACAAUGGUUCGUAAACUUCUUUUAUAUGGGAAUAAAGUGUGGAACGUGUUCCUGUUUGUAUGUACCAUAUGAAUAAGCAUCGGCUAACUCCGUGCCAGCAGCCGCGGUAAUACGGAGGAUGCGAGCGUUAUCCGGAUUUAUUGGGUUUAAAGGGUGCGUAGGUGGUUAAUUAAGUCAGCGGUGAAAGUUUGUGGCUCAACCAUAACAUUGUCGUUGAAACUGGUUGACUUGAGUUGAUGUGAGGUAUGCGGAAUGCGUGGUGUAGCGGUGAAAUGCAUAGAUAUCACGCAGAACUCCGAUUGCGAAGGCAGCUUACUAACCUAUAACUGACACUGAAGCACGAAAGCGUGGGGAUCAAACAGGAUUAGAUACCCGAGUAGUC
rnacentral:rRNA from 1 species